UUAAGUUCAGCGGGUAUCCCUACCUAAUCCGAGGUCAAUCAUUAAAAAUGGGGGGUUUUGACGAGUAUCCACCAGGACUCUAUAGCGAUGAAUUUACUACGCUUAGAGCCUGACAGCACUGCCACUGAUUUUAGAGGCUGCCUUUACAGCAGGCCCCAACACCAAGCUAGGCUUGAGGGGUGAUAAUGACGCUCGAAUAG
rnacentral:misc_RNA from 1 species